rnacentral:rRNA from 1 species
UACAGAGGGGGGCAAGCGUUGUUCGGAAUUACUGGGCGUAAAGGGCGCGUAGGUGGCCUUCUAAGUUGAACGUGAAAUCCCUGGGCUCAACCCAGGAACUGCGUCCAAGACUGGGAGGCUUGAAUCCGGGAGAGGGAUGCGGAAUUCCAGGUGUAGCGGUGAAAUGCGUAGAUAUCUGGAGGAACACCGGUGGCGAAGGCGGCAUCCUGGACCGGUAUUGACACUGAGGCGCGAAAGCGUGGGGAGCAAACAGG